rnacentral:rRNA from 1 species
CCUACGGGAGGCUGCAGUGAGGAAUAUUGGUCAAUGGGCGGAAGCCUGAACCCGCCAAGUAGCGUGCAGGAUGACGGCCCUACGGGUUGUAAACUGCUUUUAUACGGGAAUAACGCGCCUUAAGUGUAGGGCUUUGCAUGUACCUUAUGAAUAAGGACCGGCUAAUUCAGUGCCAGCAGCCGCGGUAAUACGGAAGGUCCGGGCUUUAUCCGGAUUUAUUGGGUGUAAGGGGAGCUUAGGCCGGCUGUCAAGUUUGCUGUGAAAUGUCCGGGCUCAACCCGGGCCUUGCAGCGAGAACUGGCGUGCUUGAGUCCGCGGAAAGCAGGCGGAAUUCGUCGUGUAGCGGUGAAAUGCUUAGAUAUGACGAAGAACCCCGAUUGCGAAGGCAGCUUGCUGCAGCGGAACUGACGCUGAUGCUCGAAAGCGCGGGUAUCGAACAGGAUUAGAUACCCUUGUAGUC